CUGGAGUUCAAAGGUUUUCUCUUCCGAGCUGCUCUGCUACGUACGAAACCCUGACCCAGAAUCAGGUUGUCUACGAAUGAUUUAGCGCCGGGUCUUUGCUCUGA